AUACAGAUAAUGAUUCGGAUGACUGUGUGAAUGGAGGCAGUCCCAAGGCGCCACCCAACCGUCAGCACCGGAAGGAGAAGAAGGAAUUCCCUAAACCAGCCAUCAACGGUCUACCACCCACUCCUAAAGUACUGAUGGGAGCCUGUUUCUCUAAAGUGUUUGAUGGCUGUCCACUGAAGAUCAACUGUGCCACAUCAUGGAUUCAUCCAGACACCAAAGAUCAGUACCUAAUCUUUGGGACGGAGGAUGGCAUUUAUACGCUGAAUCUUAAUGAGCUGCAUGAAGCCACAAUGGAGCAGGUAACAGCAGCUACAAUCAAUAAAAAACA